rnacentral:lncRNA from 1 species
CAAACUUGCUAGGGUUCGAAAAAUUUAGGGUUGUAAUCGAAACUUGAUCCGUGAAAUCGAUAUAGAAAAAUGAUUUACGACGUUAAUUCUCCACUUUUCCGAUCCUUCCUCAGCCAGAAAGGCGGUUCUUCUGACAAGAGGUAUUUACCAUAUAAUUACCUCUGCUAAUUUUCUCGAUAAUUUUCACAUAUACAUUUCUCUUUUACAAUCUAGCUUUUACUAUAUCAUGUUUUGUGAGUUUAGAAUAUUUGAUGCGAGGCUACAGAAUUUGUGUAACCAACAAUGCGUAGGUGGGAUGUUUUAUGUUUUGGUCUCAAUUAUUAGCUAAUUCGGGCUCAUUGCAGUUUUAUAGAAUUUCUGAAAUAGGCUAAAUUCUCAUGAGAUUCCCCAAAGGAUUUGUAAGCAAAAAAAAAUAAAUAAAUAAAAAAUAAAAAUCGUGUCCGUGAGAUUCUUGUAGUUUCAUUAUAAGAUUCAUAAAUUUAAUGUGCAUAUUGAUUCACAGCCCUCUCUGGAUUUAAUUGGUGGUUUUUGUUAAGUUGCUAUUGCACCAUAUAGUUAUUUAUUUGAAGACUUGAUUUGAACUUUGAAGUAACCUAGUGCACAUUUGAAGACCAAUAAAGUUGUAAAUUUUAUUAUCCUGAGUAUUUUCUGCACAUAAUUGGCUGGAAACAGCUUAUGCAAAAUUGUUUGCAUCUUUCCAUUUUACCUUGGUUCAAUAUAUUUUAUUAGGCCUUUCAAUAUUUGAUCAGACAAGGACUUGCUGUUGCAAAUAUAAAGCAACUUUUUUGAAGAGGAAAAUUAAGUUAAUUGCUUCUACUUUGAAUGUUCUCAGUGUUUAAUUGAUGUGCUUUGUACAAUCGAAUGCAAUUCCAGGAAAACGGAAGAGCAGAAGCCGAGGGAACAGAAGCCAAAGGCCAAUGAAAACAAGCCGGUUAUGACAGAGUAAUAAGGGCAGUGUCAUGGUAAGCUCGAACAUGGAUAGGGUACCUCAAAGGAUAUUGAAAAUGUUAUUAAGCAUUCUAUCCUAGAACUUGUUAUGUGAUUUGUGGUUUAAUUCCGGAUGUUAUAUCAAUGGCAAUGGCUUUUGGUUAGUAGAAGAAAUCAUGCUAUAGGUUUUUGGAAAUUUGAUCUUAGUCCUUUUUGGGAUGUGUUGUUUUUCUUUCUUUUUGAGAAGGAUGGAGGAGGCUUGGGAUUGGGUACGUAAUUUCUACAAAAUUUAGGGACA